GGGGGUCUUGGGACAGGGAACAGAACAGCAAUUGCUAAUUGUGCUCAGCAUCUUGUUCGGCCACUGAGCAGGUCGGGCUUGGCAUGGACCACGGCAGCUGAGGCGCCAGGACUGUCCGAGCAGGCCUCACCAUCAGUGUUACCAUGGUUACCAUCUUCCUAGAAUUAUCACUCAGCGACAUCAUCGUUACCAUGGUUACAG
rnacentral:lncRNA from 1 species